rnacentral:misc_RNA from 1 species
UCCGGCUUAUCACCGGCAGUCCCCCUAGAGUGCCCAACUAAAUGAUGGCAACUAAGGGCGAGGGUUGCGCUCGUUGCGGGACUUAACCCAACAUCUCACGACACGAGCUGACGACAGCCAUGCAGCACCUGUGUUACGGUUCUCUUUCGAGCACUCCCUGAUCUCUCAAGGAUUCCGUACAUGUCAAGGGUAGGUAAGGUUUUUCGCGUUGCAUCGAAUUAAUCCACAUCAUCCACCGCUUGUGCGGGUCCCCGUCAAUUCCUUUGAGUUUUAAUCUUGCGACCGUACUCCCCAGGCGGAGAGCUUAAUGCGUUAGCUGCGCCACCGAACAGUAUACUGCCCGACGGCUAGCUCUCAUAGUUUACGGCGUGGACUAC